UUCCCCCCCGCAUCGUAAUCCAGCUCCAAUAGCGUAUAUUAAAGUUGUUGUGGUUAAAAACCUCGUAGUUGAACCUUGGGCCUGGCUGGCCGGUCCGCCUCACCGCGUGUACUGGUCCGGCCGGGCCUUUCCCUCUGUGGAACCCCAUGCCCUUCACUGGGUGUGGCGGGGAAACAGGACUUUUACUGUGAAAAAAUUAGAGUGCUCCAGGCAGGCCUAUGCUCGAAUACAUUAGCAUGGAAUAAUAGAAUAGGACGUGUGGUUCUAUUUUGUUGGUUUCUAGGACCGCCGUAAUGAUUAAUAGGGACAGUCGGGGGCAUCAGUAUUCAAUUGUCAGAGGUGAAAUUCUUGGAUUUAUUGAAGACUAACUACUGCGAAAGCAUUUGCCAAGGAUGUUUUCAUUAAUCAGGAACGAAAGUUAGGGGAUCGAAGACGAUCAGAUACCGUCGUAGUCUUAACCAUAAACUAUGCCGACUAGGGAUCGGACGGUGUUAUUUUUUGACCCGUUCGGCACCUUACGAGAAAUCAAAGUGCUUGGGCUCCAGGGGGAGUAUGGUCGCAAGGCUGAAACUUAAAGAAAUUGACGGAAGGGCACCACCAGGGGUGGAGCCUGCGGCUUAAUUUGACUCAACACGGGGAAACUCACCAGGUCCAGACACAAUGAGGAUUGACAGAUUGAGAGCUCUUUCUUGAUUUUGUGGGUGGUGGUGCAUGGCCGUUCUUAGUUGGUGGAGUGAUUUGUCUGCUUAAUUGCGAUAACGAACGAAACCUUAACCUGCUAAAUAGCCCGUAUUGCUUUGGCAGUACGCUGACUUCUUAAACGGACUAUCGGCUCAAUCCGAUGUAGUUUGAGGCAAUAACACGUCAGCGGGGCCCCCCCCAAAAAA
rnacentral:rRNA from 1 species